UACGUAGGGUGCAAGCGUUAAUCGGAAUUACUGGGCGUAAAGCGUGCGCAGGCGGUUCGGAAAGAGAGGUGUGAAAUCCCAGGGCUUAACCUUGGAACUGCACUUCUAACUACCGGGCUAGAGUACGUCAGAGGGGGGUAGAAUUCCACGUGUAGCAGUGAAAUGCGUAGAGGUGUGGAGGAAUACCGAUGGCGAAGGCAGCCCCCUGGGAUGAUACUGACGCUCAUGCACGAAAGCGUGGGGAGCAAACAGG
rnacentral:rRNA from 1 species